rnacentral:lncRNA from 1 species
AGUUGAGACCACUGACCCUUCAACUGGGUCUGCAUGGGUGCCUGAGAGGUGGCCUUUUGAUAUCAGAGGGUCAAAAACUCCACCCUCAAGAUCAUGCUAAUGUUGCCAUUUUCUGUACAUAUGUCCUGUGAACUGUUCGUCCACCUCAUCUCUUGGUGACCUAGUGUGUAAAUCUUUUCUCUUUUGCAGAAUCUAUGUCACAGUGAUUGAUUUACUGCAUAUGAGCAGAAUGAACCUGGACCUGGCCAGUAUCAUUAAGGGUCUCACUUCAUCACCUAGACUGGAGUACAGUAGCACAGUUGCAGCUUCCUACAUCUUGACUUCCUGGGUUCCAGUGAUCCUCCCCCUUCAGCCUCUCAGAGAGAGAAAGAAAGCAGAGCUCUUUGAAGCAGAGAAAGAAAGCAGAAAGCAGAGAUCUUUGAAGGCUUAAGAAACCAUAAGGAGUUUUGGAGAGUCAAUGCAUGAUGAUCUCUGAAGAUUCUACUGAAAUCUAAUCAAUAUGUCCUCACUGCCAUCAAUUCAAAAGAACUUGCUAAGAAGGCUCUAGAGGCUUGUACUCUCAGAUAGUGAAAGUGAGAUGAUGUGUAGUGAAAGUCAUAUAUAGGUUGUAAAUUGCAAUAUGGAAUUCCCAAAUGCUGAAUUCAUUUUAUCUCUUCGGAAAUAAAAACCUGUUAAAGACUCA